CAGUCGCCACGGGAAUACAGAGGGUGCGAGCGUUAAUCGGAUUUACUGGGCGUAAAGCGUGCGUAGGCGGCUUCUUAAGUCGGAUGUGAAAUCCCUGAGCUUAACUUAGGAAUUGCAUUCGAUACUGGGAAGCUAGAGUAUGGGAGAGGAUGGUAGAAUUCCAGGUGUAGCGGUGAAAUGCGUAGAGAUCUGGAGGAAUACCGAUGGCGAAGGUAGCCAUCUGGCCUAAUACUGACGCUGAGGUACGAAAGCAUGGGGAGCAAACAGGAUUAGAUACCCCCGUAGUCCCUGUCUCUUAUAC
rnacentral:rRNA from 1 species